AUCAGAUGGAUCAGCGUAUGAGGAAGAAUUAGGGUUAGGUGAAGAAAUGGUCAGAGACGGGAUGAUCACGUUUCUAAGAGAUCAUCACUCUCUUCAUCUUUAUAAAUACUAACUCCUUAAGUGAUAAAAUUCCAUCCUCAAACUUGCAAAAAGCUAUACAUACAUAGAUUUUGCUAAAAUGGCCAUCUAUGGUGCCUCCAAAUUCAUGACAUUUGUUGCCGUUGCAGCAAUAGUUUUACUCAUGUUCUCUACGGUGGCAAGUGCUGACCAACCUGCUAUUAAACUCUGGAGAAAACUAUUCCAGUAUGAAUUACCAGAACCAUAUACUACCUAUCCUGGUGGUGGAGGAUAUACCCCUCCAUCAAAUCCAUCAAAACCGUGAAGAAAGGGAUAAACUGAUGCAUAAAAGUUCACUAUGCCUGAAAUAUUGCACAUGUGUUAUAACAUCGUUCUUUAGUUCUAUUAUUUCAUACGAGUACAAUAUAGGAAAAUAAUACAUGACAUGUUCAUGUACUUAAUUUCGGCUAAUAAUGUGUACUACUAUUAUCUGUCACCACUAAUUAGUGGCUAGACCUGAAUUGCAAUAAAUAAAAUUAUAUAUGCAUAUUCCGUGAUAACUGUGUGUGCGUAUACCAAAAUGUCUAACACCUCCAUGUAUUGGAUUAUGCAACUAAACUUUGAAUGCAACGCAUAGAAAUGCUUUUAAGCUUAUGUAUUAGAUUCAUCGUAGAAGACAACGAGAUUCCCUCAUGACGUGGUUUCCA